rnacentral:rRNA from 1 species
GACGAACGCUGGCGGCGUGCCUAAUACAUGCAAGUCGAACGCUGAAGAGAGGAGCUUGCUCUUCUUGGAUGAGUUGCGAACGGGUGAGUAACGCGUAGGUAACCUGCCUUGUAGCGGGGGAUAACUAUUGGAAACGAUAGCUAAUACCGCAUAACAAUGGAUGACACAUGUCAUUUAUUUGAAAGGGGCAAUUGCUCCACUACAAGAUGGACCUGCGUUGUAUUAGCUAGUAGGUGAGGUAAUGGCUCACCUAGGCGACGAUACAUAGCCGACCUGAGAGGGUGACCGGCCACACUGGGACUGAGACACGGCCCAGACUCCUACGGGGGGCAGCAGUGGGGAAUCUUCGGCAAGGGGGGCAACCCUGACCGAGCAACGCCGCGUGAGUGAAGAAGGUUUUCGGAUCUUAAAGCUCUGUUGUAAGUCAAAAACGGGGGGGGGAGGGGAAAGUUCACCCUGUGACGGUAGCUUACCAGAAAGGGACGGCUAACUACGG